UCCCCUUUCAGUUCCAUCCUUAUGACUAAUCCACUUGGAGGUCCCCUUUCUUUUCCAUCCUUAUGACUAAUCCACUUGGAGGUCCCCUUUCUUUUCCAUCCUUAUGACUAAUCCACUUGGAGGUCCCCUUUCUUUUCCAUCCUUAUGACUAAUCCACUUGGAGGUCCCCUUUCUGUUUCAUCCUUAUGACUACUCCAUUUGGAGGUCCCCUUUCUUUUCCAUCCUUAUGUCUAAUC